rnacentral:rRNA from 1 species
AGCAGCCGCGGUAAUUCCAGCUCCAAUAGCGUAUAUUAAAGUUGUUGCGGUUAAAAAGCUCGUAGUUGAAUUUCGGGGCCAGUAGGUCGGUCGUGCCACUGGUAUGCACUGGUCUCACUGGUCCCUCCUUCUUGUAGAACCGUGAUGGCAUUAAUUUGUUGUUGCGGGGAAACAGGACUGUUACUUUGAAAAAUUAGAGUGCUUAAAGCAGGCUCGCGCUUGAAUACAUUAGCAUGGAAUAACGAAAUAGGACGAUCGAACCUAUUUUGUUGGUUUCUAGGAUCGACGUAAUGAUUAAUAGGGAUAGUUGGGGGCAUUAGUAUUCAAUUGUCAGAGGUGAAAUUCUUGGAUUUAUUGAAGACUAACUACUGCGAAAGCAUUUGCCAAGGAUGUUUUCAUUAAUCAAGAACGAAGGUUAGGGGAUCGAAGACGAUCAGAUACCGUCGUAGUCUUAACCAUAAACUAUGCCGACUAGGGAUCGGAUGAUGUUAAUUUUUAAUGUACUCAUUCGGCGCC